rnacentral:hammerhead_ribozyme from 1 species
AUCCAGCUGGCGAGUCUCAAAUAGGACGAAACGCACGUCCUGGAU